ensembl:lncRNA
AUGAGAAUAUACUGGCUUCUGCAACAGAAGAGCUCAGGAGCAUCUGGACUCCAAACAUGGAGCCCUGGUGUUCUUCCUCUCCCCUGGCCUCUCCUGGAUGGCUCUGCCCCGGGUACUCCUGACCCCUUGGUCAUCACGGCUCUGGGUUCCCACAACACUAAAGAGAAUGUGGACCUAACACAAUGGCUUCACUCACGUGGGUCUAGGACUGCGCCAAGCCUUUGCACACGAGAGCAUUUCACUUUGAAAGUUGUUUUGAUCGUGUCGUGUCCUGUAAAACCUUCGUAAAAAUCUUAGCUGUGACCGUUUCAUGUGACAGAUUCCCUCCCAUUAAGAACUAUAUUAGUCCCUCUUUUAGAAAAUCCCCGGUUGUUUUGUACAGUCUGCCUUCUCUCUCUGCUCCUAGCAUCGCUUUACGCCUAGUGCUUUCGCUCCUAGGAACACAUGGGCUUUCCAUACGGAGACCACUCAGCAGGGGCCAGCUCUGAAUGACGUCUGGACUUUCUGGACGGCCUCUCCCUCUGCUUCGGGAAGCUCUGUAGUUAGACAAGUGCUAUAGGUGAUGAAAGGAAGGAAGCUAUUACAAGCUGGACUCUGGUCGCGGGUCUGCUGGAGGCUUGUGCAAAGGCCGGUCACUCUACGGCUGCUGUCAUUUGGACGUGACAUUUACAGAGAAGCGGUCCAGCAUACCAGCAGGGCCUCCAAACACACUGGAGCAUGAAAAGAUACAUUUUUUAGACACCAGCACAGGGUGUGUGGGAGGACAGGCAGUUGACUUAAAAGAGGUGUGGGCUGGGGCUGUCUAGGUAAAUGAUGACUGGCAAGCUUGCCAGAAAUGGAUUAACGCCCUAGAAUCCCCAGGACUUUCCUUCUAAAGUCAGGUAGUGAAGUGGCUGUUUGGUUUCCUUAAUGCUGGCUACCUACUUGGGGAACAUGGCUGCUCAUUAAAACAUUCAGCACAAGGGCAAACAGUGAGUGGCCCACGAGAGCCACCCUGGUACCUAGGAGUCCUGUGUCUAUAAAAGCACAUGGUCUAGACUUGCUUUUGGACAGAAACCCGAGGAUGAAAGGUGCCAACAGGCAGCCAUGACUAGUUGAUCAUGGUAUCUUGGUGUCAAUCAUGGUCUCUUUAGUUGAUUGUUUCUGCCUCCCUACUCCCCAGUCAUGGAUGUUUUGGGAGCCUCUGCAGUCAAGACAGAGCUUUUGGUGUUGCAGGGGUUGUUGCUUUCAAGAGAUACAAAUGCUGAUGGCAGAAGGACUUCCCUUUAAGUUACAGGGCUGGCACACAUAACUGCAGAGUCCUGGCAAAUGCUGAAAUGACCCUGUCACUAGAAUGGCUGUGUUGCUAAUGCCAGUCGGCCAAUACGUGACUGCUCAUUUUCUCUCUUUCUCUUUGCCUCUCUGUCCAAAAUGCACUCUGUAAGAGGAGAUGCAUUGGAACCACAUUGGAAAAAACAAAACAAAACACCAAGUCAACUUAGUCUGACAGGAGAACACAUAUAUUAGCUGUAGAAAUACUAAAACUCUAAGCCAAAAACUGGCUCCACUCCUAGGAUACCAACGUAGUGAGUGCUCUGGGGGCCACCUCUCUAUGUUUAGGUUUGAAAAUAGAGAAGAUUAUCAUCAGUCUUGAGCAAGUCAGGAACUGACUUGGAGUGGGGAGGGGAGAAUUUAAAACAAACUAUCUUCUCAAGGCAUAUGGCUUUCUGUAGCUAGGAAUUCAGUGAACACCUGGAAGAGGAGUGAGCUGAUCCCAACACCAAAAAAAAAACCCUCGGGCUACGUAAGCCCACUUGAUCUCAGGGCCUUCCAAAAGAAACACGAGGGAAAGUUCCCAGAAUUUGGUCCACAGCCUUCCCCUCCGAUACCCAGUUCACACCCCUAGAAGCCUAUGGCAGCAGAGGGAAGGUGGGGGGCAUACACAGUGGAGUGGGGAAAGCCCGUUUUCAGUCUUCCAGUCCCUUCUCAUCUGUUGGCUCACAUUCUGAACAGUGUCUCCAGUUCUGCAGCUGACGGUGAGGGGAGCUGGUGGGGGAAGGGAGGGAGGGCAGCCACCUGUCACUGCCCAGCACAGCCCAGAGAAGCCGUCAAGGGGUCUACCUAAAAAGGGCCACUGGAGCAGCUCCAUGUCCCCCGGCUUCAGAUCAGGGCCAUGUGAGGAGCAGGGACCUGCUUCCGGGGGGUCAAGCUGGGGCCGACGGUUGACAGGAACGCUCCAGAGAGCAACUCCCAAAGCCAGGGCCCGGGCCUUCCAGCUGCUCCACAUUGGUUCUAGCUAAGAUUUCAAAGGGGCAGGUGAAGAUUUAAAAGCAACAUGUUGCACUCUAUUUGGAAAGCCCAGUGGUACAGACAGAGUGUGCUUGGGCCCCUGGCCCCUUUCAACAGGUCCCCAAGCUGCUCCCAGUCUGAGGGAGCAGGUGUAGUCUGCCUGAUUGUCCCCUUCCUGUUUGGGUACUCCGUGAGGCCUGUCUCCGUCUUCUCCAAUCUUAAUGUUUGCUCCCUGAUUCAGUGGGAGUGUCUGGCUUGCUGCUGGGUGAGAUCCUGGGUAGCAGCUGUGAACUCCGGGAGCUGAUGGCAUGAAUCACAAUGACAAACUCCUAUGAACUUUAAAGCCGCCCAUAAAGCUCUAAUAGCACAAUCUCCAUCCCUCUUUAGAGGUCCCCCCACUCUUCCUUGAGGGUUGUAGGACAUCUGAGAUGAACAGGAAGGGCACAAACCUGUUAAGGGAAAGGAGAGCAGCAGCAUAUCGAGAACUCAAGAUCCUAAGAAGCUAGUUUUUCUUAGAACUGAAGACACACAUCAUAUUUGCAAACUAGCUUGGACUCAUUUAUAAAGCCUUGGAAGAUGUGCAGAAGCGUUAGACAGAAGGAACACGCAAUCAUUCCCUCUUUUGUCCCAGUACCUCGGGGUACCAAGAAAUACACCUGAGAAGAAAAAUGAAAAAAAAAAAAAAUCUGCCCCCCUGGCCUCACCUGUUUAAAUCCUGAGCUUCAUCUUACUACUGGGUAGGAGUUCUUGGAUAAGUUCAUUGCCUGAAGAUGCUCUUCCCAUCUCCAAAUCCAAAGGCCAAGAAAUGCUCAAAAACCACGGCUGGACAAAGAAGACUGAACACCGUUAAUGCGUCGUGCCCACCACCAAGAGCCAGCACAGAGUGGGUGGAAAUCGCUUCUCCUUCCUGGAGGCCAGAGGGGACAGCCUUGACUCUCUUCAGCCUUGCGUCCUCUCUCUCCCUCAUGUACACACUUGUUCAGCAAUCAAAGCUUAAGGAAUAUCAAAUAUAAAACUUUGCCAUAUAGUAUUUCAAAUCACUCUAUUUACAAGUUUAUCUUUUCCAAAAAAAAAAAAAAAAGUAAAAGAUACAGUAAUUCAACACAAUUCAAGUUUUCCUUUUCUUCUCGAAAGGUCCCUAAAGAGGCAUUCCAGAAGCAGGAAACAUUCUGGAAUGGUGCUGCCAUCCCGAGGGGUUCCUAGGGAGCGUGACAGUCCCUUAACUUUGGAGUUUGCCCAGAAUCGCUCUUGCAGGGACAUUCAAACGUGGGAGAUCCUGGGACUCUCUUCUUUGGAGGCUAAGUGACCGCGACAUGUCCAGGCCAUACUUCCCCCUCAAGGUGGGCUUCCCCAAGGCCCAGCCCCUCCUGGAUCAGGAAAUUCUCUUUCUCAGGAGGUACCCAUGCCACCUUCCAUGGCCCAAUGGUACAGUGCCCUCCUAAAUCACCAUGGCUUAUGAUAUUAGUCUCAUGCCUCAAGAGCCUGAGAAACCAUUCCCUUUUUCUGAGUGGCAGUGAAUAUGUGUGUCCUUUUAAACUAGAGGCCAUGGGCUGAGCCGGGAAGUGUGCUGG